rnacentral:rRNA from 1 species
CCUACGGGAGGCAGCAGUGGGGAAUAUUGCACAAUGGGGGGAACCCUGAUGCAGCGACGCCGCGUGAGUGAAGAAGUAUUUCGGUAUGUAAAGCUCUGUCAGCAGGGAAGAAGAAAGACGGUACCUGACUAAGAAGCCCCGGCUAACUACGUGCCAGCAGCCGAGGUAAUACGGAGGGGCCAAGCGUUACCCGGAUUUACUGGGUGUAAAGGGAGCGUAGACGGCGGGGCAAGUCUGAUGUGAAAGGCAAGGGCCCAACCCCGGGACUGCUUUGGAAACUGUCAGGCUGGAGUGCAGGAGAGGUAAGUGGAAUUCCUAGUGUAGCGGUGAAAUGCGUAGAUAUUAGGAGGAACACCAGUGGCGAAGGCGGCUUACUGGACUGUAACUGACGUUGAGGCUCGAAAGCGUGGGGAGCAAACAGGAUUAGAUACCCUUGUAGUC